UUCUAAUACUGUACUGAGCAGGAGCUCCGUACAGCCUUAGAAUGUAUUGGCUCCGAUGAGCCGAAGUUAAUGCUUUGCGAAGUCUUGAGACUUUGGGUAAGAACUUAAUAAAUUUAUUUGUACUG